UACGUAGGGUGCAAGCGUUGUCCGGAAUUAUUGGGCGUAAAGAGCUCGUAGGCGGUCUGUUGCGUCGGCUGUGAAAACCCGGGGCUCAACCCCGGGCCUGCAGCCGAUACGGGCAGACUAGAGUGCGGUAGGGGAGACUGGAAUUCCUGGUGUAGCGGUGAAAUGCGCAGAUAUCAGGAGGAACACCGGUGGCGAAGGCGGGUCUCUGGGCCGUAACUGACGCUGAGGAGCGAAAGCGUGGGGAGCGAACAGG
rnacentral:rRNA from 1 species